rnacentral:rRNA from 1 species
GUAGGAGACGAGCGUUAUCCGGAUUUACUGGGCGUAAAGCGUGUKCAGGCGGUUCGGCAAGUUGGAUGUGAAAUCUCCCGGCUCAACUGGGAGGGGUCGUUCAAUACUACCGAACUUGAGGGCAUCAGAGGAAGGUGGAAUUCCGGGUGUAGUGGUGAAAUGCGUAGAUAUCCGGAGGAACACCAGUGGCGAAAGCGGCCUUCUGGGAUGCAUCUGACGCUCAGACACGAAAGCUAGGGGAGCGAACGGGAUUAGAGACCCCGGUAGUCCUAGCUGUAAACGAUGUAGACCUGGCGUCGGAGGGUUCAAAACCUUCGGUGUCGUAGCUAACGCGAUAAGUCUACCGCCUGGGGACUACGGCCGCAAGGUUA